rnacentral:snoRNA from 1 species
CCCCUCUCAGGGUCUCACCUGGAGAGUUUCCAGUGCUCUACAGUCUUGACUACAGGAGGGAGAGUCAAGCAGAGGCCUGUCCAUUCCAUUCCUAGCUUGGCCAGUGGGUAGUGAGUGGAAGGCAGUCUGCUACAAAU